UUUCCAAAUUGGAAGAUGUGUUUUCCCCCACAGAAAGGUGAAUUUCUCUUACUGGAAGGUGUGUUCAAUUACAGGAAUGUGUGUUUUCCCUCAAAAGGAAGAUGUGUCAUCAUACAGGGAGGUGCCUUUCCUCCUCAAAAGGUAAAUUUCCACAACAGGAAUUGUGUGUAUCCCCCACAGAAUGAAGGGUGUAUCCCAGAGGCAUGUACGUUUCCCCCACAGAAAAUGUUUUCCCACAGGAAGAUGUGUUCCCACACAUGGUGUGCUUCUUGCAGAAGAGGAUGCCAUUCCCCCACAGCCAGAAGGAUGCCUGCAUAGGAAGUUGAGUUUCCCUCACAGGAAGAUACUUUCCCCCAGAAGAAGGUGUAUUUCCCCCACAGGAAGAGGUGUUCCCACUGAGGAAGCUGCAUGCCCUCAUAGGAAGCUGCAUUUCCAUACAGGAAGGUCAAUUUCCCCACAAAAGUUACUUUUCCCUGACAGAAAUUAUAAUUUCCACUAGGAAAAUGUGUUUCCCUCAAAAGAAGAUGAAUUUCCCCUCAGGAAGGUGAAUUUCUCCCACAGAAAAUGUGUUCCCUCCCAUGAAGGUGUGUUUCUCCCAAAGGAAGAUUUGUUUCCACACAGCAAGAGGCCUUUCCCUGGCAAGAAGUUGAAUUUUUGCCAAAAAAAGGAUGAUGUAUACCCCCAAAGGAAUAAGGGUUUCCUCAAAGGAAGAUGUGACCACCCACAGGAAGAAUUCCUGCACAGGAAGGUGCAUUUCCCCCCAAAUGAAGAGGCAUUUUGCCAUGGGAAUAUCAUUCCCCAAAAGAAAGCUGUGUUCUAUGAAGGAAGAUGUGUUCCCUCACAGGAACAUGCAUUUCCUUCACAGGAAGAAGAUUUCCUGCGCAGGAGGUGCCUUCCCCACCAAAGCAAGUGUUCCAGUACAGUAAGGAAGGUGUGUCUCCCCCGCCUGGAUGAAGGGUUCAUCCCACAGGAAGGUGCAUUUACCCCAAAGGAAUGUGUAUU